CAGCAAAAAAAAAAAAAAAAAGAAAAAAAAACCUAGUUGUUCCUUCCCCUUCAACUCGACGGCAACAGAAGGAGCAGCCCCUUCCUCUCUCUCGCGAUCACACAUCCAGCCGAACGCACACCCUCUCGCAUAUCUUUCUUCUCUCGGACGUGAUCGACCAACCCUGACCGUUAGCUAUUUUAAGAGUCAAACCGAGCAAACCAAGGUCGUUAGGUACUCAUGGAGCUUGCACGAGCAGGAGGAGUCGUUGUGGUACAUGGACCGUUGUGUGCCAUGUUAAACUAUAAGAACUUUUGACUUAUAUUUUGGUUUUAUAUUUUAUGCUUCCGCUGAUAAAUUGAAUUUGAUUAACUUGUUUUGGAACACCAAUUGU